GAAUUUUCCAGGGACGAGUUUUCCGGGGACGAAUUUUCCGGGGACGAAUUUUCCUAGAGCCGUUGCUGCCAAUGUUGGAGCCAUACAGGGCAGCCCGAGCCAACAUUGUACAAGGGCCACAAGGUCCAGGGCCUCAAGGACAAGGGACACAAGGACAAGGGACACAAGGACAAGGGACACAAGGACAAGGGACACAAUGACAAGGGACACAAGGACAAGGGACACAAGGACAAGGGACACAAAAGACGAUGUUGCAAUCUGCGGGCCCUCUGCAGAUUGAGAUGAUGGCUGUCGAGAAGACCCAACCACUCAACCAAGAUCUACAAUUCGUGCUAUGGUAGAUGUGACUCUCAAAAGAUUUUGGAUGACGAAGGAAUCCAAUUCAUAUAUGG